UACGGGGGGGGCAAGCGUUGUUCGGAAUUACUGGGCGUAAAGGGCGCGUAGGCGGCUCGCUAGGUCGGGUGUGAAAACUCUGGGCUCAACCCAGAGCCUGCAUUCGAAACUGACGAGCUAGAGUUCUGGAGGGGAAAGCGGAAUUCCUGGUGUAGCGGUGAAAUGCGUAGAUAUCAGGAGGAACACCGGUGGCGAAGGCGGCUUUCUGGACAGAAACUGACGCUGAGGCGCGAAAGCUAGGGGAGCAAACAGG
rnacentral:rRNA from 1 species